rnacentral:misc_RNA from 1 species
GUUCCGUAGGUGAACCUGCGGAAGGAUCAUUAUUGUAUAACCGAGGUGCGAGGGCUGUCGCUGACCCGAAAGGUCGUGCACGCCCGAGUGCCCUCACACACAUCCAUCUCACCCCUAUGUGCACCACCGCGUGGGUCCCCCUUUGGCUUGUUCGGAGGGGGGCUUACGUUUUCACACAAACUUUGUAUGCAGUGUAGAAUGUAUUUUUUGUUUUUGCGAUCACGCAAUCAAUACAACUUUCAACAAUGGAUCUCUUGGCUCUC